rnacentral:rRNA from 1 species
AAAAGGNACUCCAANUGGGUGGAAAAAUAAAAAUUUNAAGCUAAAUAUUGGCCGGAGGCCAGGUAGCGCACAAGGUGGAGUGAUCGAAAAGAAGAAAAGCACUUUGAAAAAGAGAGUUAAACAGUAUGUGAAAUUGUUGAAAGGGAAGCGCUUGCAAUCAGACUUGUGGCUGACGGUUCCCCCGGCCCCCGUGGCCGGGCUACUCCGUCAUGUCCAGGCCAACAUCGGUCUGGGUGGCCGGUCAAAGACCCCGGGAAUGUAUCUACCUUCGGGUCGACUUAUAGCCCGGGGUGGAAUGCGGCCCACCCGGACCGAGGAACGC